CACCGCCAAUAAAUAACACCGACGUAGUUACCAUAAAAGGAGAAGAAGUUAAUGUUACUACGUAUCAGAGCGCGGCAAAAUACACCUGCAAUGUUGGGUAUGAGCCAAAUGGAACCAAAAACACUAGCCACUGUACGGAAAAUGGAACAUGGUCAACAUUGUCAUUUUCAUGCCAAAUCAAAGAUUGCAAAACACCAACACCAAUAAACAACGCCAAAGUAGUUACUACAAAAGGAAAAGAAGUUAAUGUCACUACGUAUCAGAGCGUCGCGAAAUACACCUGUAAUGUUGGGUAUGCGCCAAAUGGAGCCAAAAACACAAGCCACUGUCUGGAAAAUGGAACCUGGUCAACAUUGUUAUUUUCAUGCCUAAUCAAAGACUGCAAAACACCACCGCCAAUAAAUAACACCAACGUAGUUACCACAAAAGGAGAAGAAGUUAAUGUUACUACGUAUCAGAGCGCGGCAAAAUACACCUGUAAUGUUGGGUAUGAGCCAAAUGGAACCAAAAACACUAGCUACUGUACGGAAAAUGGAACAUGGACAACAUUGUCAUUUUCAUGCCAGA